AUUGAACGCUGGCGGCAGGCCUAACACAUGCAAGUCGAACGAGUGGCGGACGGGUGAGUAAUGUCUGGGAAACUGCCUGAUGGAGGGGGAUAACUACUGGCAACGGUAGCUAAUACCGCAUACCAUCGGAUGUGCCCAGAUGGGAUUAGCUAGUAGGUGGGGUAAAGGCUCACCUAGGCGACGAUCCCUAGCUGGUCUGAGAGGAUGACCAGAGAAACUGGGACGGAGACACGGUCCAGACGCAUACGGGAGGAAGCAGUGGGGAAUAUGGCACAAUGGGCGCAAGCCUGAUGCAGCCAUGCCGCGUGUAUGAAGAAGGGGUUAGGGUUGUAAAGUACUUUCAGCGGGGAGGCGUUACCCGCAGAAGAAGCACCGGCUAACUCCGUGCCAGCAGCCGCGGUAAUAC
rnacentral:rRNA from 1 species